GCUCCCUGGUGCACAACUGUAAUCCCAGCUACUUGGGAGGCUGAAGCCAGCGGAUUGCUUGAACUCAGGAGUUCUGGGCUGCAGUGGGCAAUGCCAUUUGGGUGUGCGCGCUAAGUUCUGCAUCAGUAUAGUGAUCCCUGGGAAGCCUGGGGUCACCAGGUUGCCUAAGGAGGGGUGAACCAGCCCAGGUCGGAAAAGGAGAAGGUCAAAACUCCCCUGCAUUCUGUCACAGUGUCUCAGAGCUGAUGAGUGUUCAAGAAAGCAGCUUACAGAUAUAAUUCCACAGUGGUAGCUAGCUACUU
rnacentral:SRP_RNA from 1 species